AUGAGCCAGGGCCAGCCUCGGAGGCCCGAGGGCGGGGAGGCCAUGCAGGCCGACCGGCCAAUCAAGUACGGCGACGUGUUCGACGUCUCCGGGGUGCUGGCGGCGCAGCCCGUGGCGCCCAGGGACGCGGCGAUGCUGCAGUCCGCCGAGAACGAGGUGCUGGGGCUGGGGCAGACGCAGAAGGGCGGGCCCGCGGCCGUCAUGCAGUCGGCCGCCACGCUCAACGCGCGCGCCGGCCACGUCGGCCGCGGCCAGCUCACGGGCCCCGUCGCUGACGCGGGCGUCACCGUCACCGAGGCCGACCUGCCCGGCCGCCGCGUCAUCACCGAGUCCGUCGCCGGGCAGGUCGUGGGCCGGUUCGUCGCGCCCGCGCCGGUGACGGCCACCGAGCCAUCGGGCGCGCUGGACCAGGACGCCGUGACCAUCGGGCGCGCGCUGGAGGCCGUCGCGGCGGCCGGCGCGGGGGCGAAGCCGGUGGACCAGAGUGACUCGGCGGCCGUCCAGGCGGCCGAGAUGCGCGCCACGGGGUCCAACCUCACCGUCCCGGGGGGCAUCGCCGCGGCUGUGCAGGCGGCCGCCGACCAGAACGAGCGCGCCGCGCGCGAGGAGGACAAGGUCAAGCUCCGGGACGUCCUCUCGGACGCGAGGAGCAAGCUGCCGGCGGACAAGGGGGCGACGAGGGAGGACGCGGAGAGGGUCGUGUCGGCGGAGAUGCGGAACAAGCUGGACCUGACGACCACGCCGGGCGGCGUGGCGGAGGCGGUGACCACGGCGGCGCGGCUCAACCAGGAGCGCCCGUAG
rnacentral:rRNA from 1 species